rnacentral:rRNA from 1 species
GAGUUUGAUCCUGGCUCAGAACGAACGCUGGCGGCGUGCCUAACACAUGCAAGUCGAACGUGAUCCAGAGCUUGCUCUGGUGAAAGUGGCGCACGGGUGAGUAACGCGUGGAUAACCUACCCUGGUAUCCGGGAUAACAUUCCGAAAGGGGUGCUAAUACCGGAUAAGCCCACGGGCUCUUUGGAGCUUGCGGGAAAAGGUGGCCUCUAUUUAUAAGCUACUGUAUCAGGAUGGGUCCGCGUACCAUUAGCUAGUUGGCGGUGUAACGGACCACCAAGGCGACGAUGGUUAGCUGGUCUGAGAGGAUGAUCAGCCACACUGGAACUGAGACACGGUCCAGACUCCUACGGGAGGCAGCAGUGGGGGAUUUUGCGCAAUGGGGGAAACCCUGACGCAGCAACGCCGCGUGAGUGAUGAAGGCCUUUGGGUCGUAAAGCUCUGUCAGAGGGGAAGAAAUGAUAUAGUGCUAAUACCACUUUAUCUUGACGGUACCCUCAAAGGAAGCACCGGCUAACUCCGUGCCAGCAGCCGCGGUAAUAC